GCAAACUUGGUCAUUUAGAGGAAGUAAAAGUCGUAACAAGGUUUCCGUAGGUGAACCUGCGGAAGGAUCAUUAUUGAAUACCACUUGAUGGGUUGUAGCUGACUCUUUGGAGUAUGUGCACGCCUGUCUUGUAUUCCUAUUCAUCCACCUGUGCACCAUUUGUAGUCUUUGAAAAGUGGGAUUAGUGAAGUGGCUAUCUCUCAGUCGGCCAGACUGGUACAUGAGGAUUGCAUUGUAUUGUUGCUCUCUUCAACGAGUCACGGAUCUCUCUCUCCUUUCUGAAGUCUAUGUAUUUAUUCAUAAACGAAUGUUAUAGAAUGUAUUUGAACAGGCCUCUGUGCCUAUAAACUCUUAUACAACUUUCAGCAACGGAUCUCUUGGCUCUCGCAUCGAUGAAGAACGCAGC
rnacentral:misc_RNA from 1 species